rnacentral:tRNA from 1 species
GGGCCUAUAGCUCAGUCGGUUAGAGCGCACGCCUGAUAAGCGUGAGGUCGGUGGUUCAAGUCCACCUAGGCCCA